rnacentral:rRNA from 1 species
GAGUUUGAUCGUGGCUCAGGAUGAACGCUAGCGGCAGGCCUAAUACAUGCAAGUCGAACGGUAAAUAUGCAGCAAUGUAUAUGAGAGUGACGUACGGGUGCGUAACACGUAUGCAACCUACCCUUUACAGGCGGAUAGCUCGGGGAAACUCGGAUUAACCCGUCAUAAGAUCAUAGAGUGGCAUCACUUAGUGAUUAAAAUUACGGUGGUAAAGGAUGGGCAUGCGUCUGAUUAGUUAGUUGGCGGGGUAAUGGCCCACCAAGACGAUGAUCAGUAGGGGAACUGAGAGGUUGAUCCCCCACACUGGCACUGAGAUACGGGCCAGACUCCUACGGGAGGCAGCAGUAGGGAAUAUUGGUCAAUGGAUGGAAGUCUGAACCAGCCAUGCCGCGUGCAGGAAGAAGGCCUUCUGGGUUGUAAACUGCUUUUGCCAGGGGCUAAAAAGCCCAUGCGUGGGAAAUUGAAAGUACCUGGUGAAUAAGCACCGGCUAACUACGUGCCAGCCGCCGCCGUAAG